CGCUGCCUCCUGAGGUGAGCCUCGCCGUCACUUUCUCUUGGUGCGAUUCAGGGUGGACACGGUCCAGGCCGGUCCGGUCCCGGUCCGAGCCGCCGUUUGGACCGGACGCCGGCGGUCCGGGCCGGACCGGACCGAGCUGUGCAGCGGUCCUGAUUACAGGGACCGGACCGGCUGGCAUGAAGCUCGGUGCGGACCGGCGGUCCUGGCGGUCCUGGCGCCGUCCAGUCACUGCCAUGUGGGCCCAGGACAUCGGAGUGGUGGUCGGAGUAGCAACACGGUGGCCGGAGCCGGAGAAGAAGCACCUGAUGCACGGUGGCGCGAGAGAAAGGCACGGGAGAGAGAGGGAGCAGCAUGGCGCGAGGCAGAGGCGUGGUGGCGCGAGGGGACGACGGCGAGAGGUAGAGGCGCGGCGGCGCGAGGUUGUGCCGGGAGAGGAAGUCGAGGAAGACGGCGGCGCAGGGGAGGAAGAGGGGCUGCGCAGGGGAGGAAGAGGGACGGCGCGUGCGAGGAAGAGGAGGCAGUGGCAGUUCGCUAGGUCACGCACGCCCCUCUUAUUAGCUUUAUUGGGCUGGGCUCUUCUGAUUAGCUUUAUUGGGCUGGGCCUUCGGUCCUCCGAGCCGUACCGAGCUUUAACCGGACCGGACCGACCGAAUUUCGGUCUCGUUUUCACGGACCGGACCGGCCAUAUUAUCUAGCGAGCCAGGCCCGUACGGUCCGGUCCAUAACGGGCCGCGGUCCAGGCCAGAAGCCCGCUCGUCCCGUCCACCCUGAGGUGCGAUGCUGCGUGUACAAUAGCCGGCGAGGUCUGUAUCUUGCGUCAAGAGUAGCGGCGUGGGGAUCUUCAGGAGGUCCAUCGACAGCAAUACACAGCUGCAGGAAUGACAACAGGUGGACUAGCUCAACGUGAGGGUGACCAUGGGCAAGGCCGCAAGGGGUGCUGUGGCUGCUCGAGGUCUGGUGGUCAUGACAGGGGGCGAUGUGGCUGUCAAGGUCUGGUUCGUUUUUGACGCCGCAGAAGUCGUCCAUGUCACUCCGAUCGGCUAACCGGCUGAUCCCACGGCCACGGGUGAGGCGAAAUCUCCCUAUUAUACCUGCAAAUCUUUUGCGUCCUCUAUUCACUGAUUAGUAUGGGCGAGCUGAUUGUGAUGGUCAUACUUGGGUGCAGAGUGCAGGCUCCUACUCCAGGCUUCGAUCUAGAAACAAUUUCCCUGGGUGAAUGUAGGGAUGUACUAUGUAGUGUGAUUAAUUCGUUCAAGCUUUGUGUUCUUGAUUUUUCAUAAAAUUACGAAGUCUGCCUGUGUGAUUUGAGUGAAAUUUGUUGGUUGGGACAGGUUUACUUAGUCCUGCAACUUAGUUCUGCAUUAUGGAAGGUUUACUUAGUCCUGCAAAUUCGUCAAGUCUGAAUAUACAAGGUGGCUUACAUGUGAGUUCUUGCCCUGUUCAUGAUGGAACUAUGUAUCUCCAUUAACUGCGUGGGCUGCACUUAUCUGAAGUUUGUAUCUACCUCUUUGCUCACGAUUUGUUCGAUCAAAUUUUGUAUAAAUACCUAGAUUGUAUGAAUGAAUUUAUGUGAUUUUCCCUGGAAUUUAUGAAUACAUUUUUUGCAGAAUUGGACUGAUAUAAAUUAUUUGAAUUUGGAUUACUGAUUCUUUCUCAAAUAUUUCAGUCCCUGCAGCAACAUCAGUGUUAUUUGACAGAAUUGCAUCAGCCCUGAAGGGUUUGGAAACAUCGAUCCCUGCCAUUAUAAACAGAACAUGUUGCGUUCUCGCUGCAUAGUAUUAGAAGGACUCAUGUAUGAAGUAUCUAUUUUAAAGAAAUUAAACCUAUCUUUGGAAUUUUGAUUCCCAGGUCUGAAUUCAGAUCUAUAUAUUUUUAUCUUCUUGUAAUGGUUUGCCUCCUGCAAUCAUUUGUUUGCCUUUAUCUGCAUCCGCAUGAAGAUUAAAAAUGGAAGAGAAAUCAAUGAACUAUAUUGUUCCGCCGUACAUAGGCCGGAAAGAUUUGAUGUAUGUAUAGCGUAUUUUUAAGGCAUGGCCAUCUCAGCAAUAAUCAGUACAUUAUAGGAUUGUCACCAAAGAUGUGAAAUCAAGGUCAUGUAGAUAGUCAUGCUUAGCAGAUUGUUUAUAUUCGGAAGGAAAGAAGACAGAAACAGUAACAGACCAUGUAUUUUUAUCAGCGAAUUCAGCUUAGUUAGCUUUGCUUGAUAUUGGUUUGCAAAAUCUAACUCUCUUAACUCCUCUUUUAAGUGAGGGUUUGCUCUGCUCUAUAAUUUUCUUCCAUUUUCCAAUACAAAUUGUGUUUAAAUGAUACGUGGCAUUGCGAAUUAUGACCAACUAGCUACGGUUUAGUAUGGUAUGGUUUUGUUCUGGCUCAUUUCAUUGACUGUGGUUGGUUGUUAUCAUUUUAUACCCACAUUUUCAAACCUUAGAGAAAGGGAUGGCAACAAAGCUUCAUAUUUCAGCUACUGAUAUCAUAGUGUGCAUGUUAUGGGCACAACUAAGUCUUCUUGCAUGUUGCAGUAAUGUACAGUUGGACGUUAAGCUAAUUUUCUUUUUUGCAGGUUAAGCUAAUAGCUUCAUAGAUGAAAUUUUGUCUAUCUUGUUGUAUAAAUUAUAGCAUCGUGUAGGCCGAUAGCUGAAAUUUAGUCUACCUUGCACUAUAAUUUUUGGCAUAGUGCAAUUCAUCUUGCUGCAUAAAUUAUCUUCACUAUAAAUUCUGGCAUAGUACAGUCCAUCUUGCUGUAUAAAUUUUGGUACAGUGCAGACAAGGCAUGAGAAAAUGGCUUGCCGAGCCAACACCGGCAACACUGCACCAUGAGGAUGGUCGGUGGGCACCAUCAAACAAAUCUCAAUAGUGUUAUCUUGCAUUCGUACGAGCAUCGGUCCGGCCUUUUUAAAUACGAACAACAAAUCGCUGCAUUUUACGAGCCUUUUUCUGGUUUAUUCUUAUUGCUUGAGAAUUUUAAGGAGCAUUGUGGGUUUCUCUGCCCAUAAGGAGGAAACUACAUUUUGUAUGUGAUGCAUGUUUGGCUGAAAUCCCCCCUUCUACCUUUUGCAGAGCUCUCACAAAUCAAGUAAGUUACGAAGUGGCCUGAAUGUCUAGAUUCUAGCUUGCUUUGAAUUUAUGAAUUAUCGCUGCUAUAUUGUUAUCUCGGGAUAGUGAAACAGUCGAGUUGUACUACUUGCAGGGGAUUUCUGCAUACAGUUCAUCCAUUCAGUAAAGGCAUAUGCAGAAAUAUCUAUCACUUUGACUUCACCACGAAAUUAAUUUGUUCUGGAAGCCGUAGGUACCCUUACUCGAGGAGCUGGAAGCCAGAGAAGCUCUGUACCAAUUUUAGUGCUGGUGUUAUUGAUCUGUGUGUUGCUGUGCCAUUCUUCAGCCCUAGCAUGUGUUGUCAUCCAUUGUUCAAACUUUUUCUUCCACUGGAAGCAUGUCUUUCAUGAACUGCACCAAUAAAUGUACAUUGAAUUUAUCAAUGUCUAUAUGUAGUUUAUCCUUUCUCCUUGACGCGCUUAGAAUUUACGUAAAUAUUUACGCGCUCAGAAUUUUUAAAACUGAAACACCGAUUAUGCGGGGGGAGGGGGACAAUGGCCCCCUUAGCCCUUGCCUUAGUCAACUUCCCCAUGCUCCAUUGUUUUGCCAACAAUGAUACUAUCUCUAAUGUUUGCUUUAUUGCAGGCUAAACGUCCUUCUGCUAUCGAUUCCUUUCACAAAAUCACAACCAACUGGCAGGGCAAGACGAUAGCUUCUUGGACUACGACGGAACACUGUCGCCAAUAGUAGAUAAUCCUGACGAGGCAUACAUGUCCAACGAGGUAAGUAUAACGAAAAGAAAAAUUCUUGCAUGUUCCUUGAUAUUUGUAGAUCUUUCUUAUCCCUGGAACAUAUAAUCAGAUGCAUGAACUUGUUCAAGAAAUUGCCUCCUUGUGCCCCACUUCAGUCGUCAGUGGAAGGGCCUGCGAUAAGGUAUUACGUAUCUAGUAGCCUUUUAAUUUGGAUGUUCUAUACAUUUGUAAUUAGUGACUCACUUGUUUUGCUAUUCAUCUGUUGACAGAAAAUUUCAAAAUGAUCGAAAACCUGCACUAUGCAGGGAGCCACGGAGCAGAAAUCAAACUCCUAAGCCAUUAUUAAAUUUAGAAAUGUCUAUAUGUAGUUUAUCCUUUCUCUUUGACAUGCUCAGAAUUUAUGUGAAUAUUUAACCUGCAGAGUGAUGAAACAGAAACCCACGAGCCUACCAACGAGUACGUACCUGUUAUAAAUCAGAUAUAGAAUAUAACGAAUUAUAAUAAUCCACAUAUCUAUCUUUUUAACAACUAUUUUGCUGCUUCCUACUAUUCUGUCCAUAAGUAAAACUCAGUUCUGCCUAGCCCUUGCCUUAGUCAAUUCUUCCCCAUGCUCAAUUCUUUUGCAAAAAAACUACCUGCAAACCACAUGUUGCGGUUUGCAAAGAAGCCCUUCUUAAUUGUCUAUCCUCAAAUAAUUAAAAAAAUUAGGCGAGGUUUUGUGCGGUUUGCAAAGAAGCCCUUAAGGUGAGAUGAACUUAUGUUUCAAAUAAUUACAAAAAAAUGUAGUUACACAGGUUCUCGAAGACAUAUGCUGGAAGGAAAUGUUGUGUGAGAAGCGACGUAUUCCAAGAGCCAUCGACAUUCAGGAGAUCUGCCAUCCAUUUUAGUCUGCAUCGACGUUUUUGUGUGAUCGGCCUAAAGGAGGGUUCCCUUGGGAUCCAAGGAUCAUUGCCAUAUGUGUAUGUUUUCUUCAGUGCCAACAUGCCAGACGCACCCCUGCUUAGCUAGCUCUAACCCAUAUUCAAUGGUUGCACAUGUCGACGAACCAUUCCCUGUGAAGAUUGUGUCAAUAAUGGAUCCAGACAGAUAGUACUUGGCUCAUAGGACCCGUGGACAUAGGCUCUCCAAAACUAUGUGCAAGCAAGGCCUUGAUUGAACAACCUCAAAUUUUUGCACAAGCUCCUACAAAUUUUGCAUCCAGCUCAUGUAUGUACUCGCUCAAGUCCUUUUUACUCAACGUAUAAGAUUUGUCUUAAGUUAAACUCCGUAAAGUUUGACCAUGUUUGUGUAAAAAAAUACCAACAUCUAUAAUACUAAAAUUCUAAAGUUAUACAUUAUGAAAAUUAAAUUCAUGGCGCAUCUAACUAUAUUGGUUUCAUAUUAGAAUGUUGUUAUCUUUUCAAUAAAGUUGGUCAAACUUUACUAAAUUUGAUUUUAGAUGAAACUUAUAUGCGGAGUAAAAUGGACCGGAGGGAGUAUAUAUACUCCAAUAAAUUUCCAUCGGCUCAUAAUAUUUGAAACUAUCAGCUGAGCAUGACGGGAGCAUGUAUCACAUAUAUUUGAGACCAAUGAUGCUGUGAUUACCUCAUGCCCAAAUAUUUUUUGCCUAGAAUUCAUGUACUUUUAACAGGAAAAGUUCGCCGAAGUUGGUCAAUCUCUCUUAAUCAAUCCUUUAAAAAAUUGGUAUAUAACCCUGCACUUCGAUCAUAACAACCUCUUGCAUCCGUACUUCGCAUAGCAUGAUCCACUUGAAGCAAGAAGAAAAAUCCUAAACGCAUAUAAAAAAAAGAAAAAAACCUACUCCUUCCGUCUCAUAAUGUAAGACGUUUUUUGACACUAGUGUAGUGUCAAAAUAUAUCUUACAUUAUAGGACACAGGGAGUAAUUCUAAAUAUACUACACCUAGCUAGGUUUGAUUUAUCUGGAUUUGACUUUUUUCUAUCAGUGGAAAACAGACCAAUGGGAAGGCGACACGUUAUUUACUGGGGAUCUGUUGGGAUAUGUUUUGGAGUGCCUUUAGCGAUUUGGUAGAGCUGCAGUUGCUGGAUUGGUUUCGCCCAUCUCUCUUAAUCCUUUACACGUGCGGACGAUGCGUCUUCAUCUUUGGAAGACUUUCGUGAAAUCCCGUUGGUUCCUAUUUCAUACCUCUCAAUUCUUGCCGCGUGUCCAUCCCGAAGACUCUCGUGGGAUCAUGACCACCACCGCUUGCCGUUGUUCCACCGCCGUAUGGGCUAAUAAAAAGGCUACCCUCCCUCGCCAUCCGCCUCGCCCACUCUCGAGCUGUGGUCUUCCAAAGUCGGGCGGCGCACCAGCCGCUCUCCUUGAUCUCGCCGGUUGCGGUGCCUCGCCGAUGUGCAGGGCCAAGGACGUGCCGAUGCAUCGAGAUGCCCCUCGCCCAGCCUACUGGCGCUCCGUCGACGCACCUGGCUCCUCCUCGACGCCUCAAGCCGUCCCGCGCCGCAUGUGUCUAGGUCUCGUGCCCGUCCAGGCCACCAGCAUGCUGCCGUCCCACGCUCUACCGGAGCCCUCUGCCCGUCGUCAUCGUGGCAAGCUGCCGCCUCUACUAGGAUAGCGCAGAAGCCGACGCGAGGAGGCGCCCCAUCUCCCCGUUGCUCUGCCUUCGUGUCAAGGCGAUGGAGAUGUGCGAGAGCUGAGAGGGAUGGGAGGAGGAGCGGCCACGGUGAAGUGGCCGAAGGAGGUGCUGGCAUGGCGGCGGCGUGGGGAGCGAUUGGAGGCGCGCGGGCCUCACCGCUGCCUCCUGAGGUGAGCCUCGCCGUCACUUUCUCUUGGUGCGAUGCUGCAUGUACAAUAGCCGGCGAGGUCUGUAUCUUGCGUCAAGAGUAGCGCUUGGGGAUCUUCAGGAGGUCCAUCGACAGCAAUACACAGCUGCAGGAAUGACAACAGGUGGACUAGCUCAACGUGAGGGUGACCAUGGGCAAGGGGUGCUGUGGCUGCUCGAGGUCUGGUGGUCAUGACAGGGGGCGAUGUGACUGUCAAGGUCUGGUUCGUUUUUGACGCCGCAGAGGUCGUCCGUGUCACUCCGAUCGGCUAACCGGCUGAUCCCACGGCCACGGGUGAGGCGAAAUCUCCCUAUUAUACCUGCAAAUCUUUUGCGUCCUCUAUUCACUGAUUAGUAUGCGGCGAGCUGAUUGUGAUGGUCAUACUUGGGUGCAGAGUGCAGGCUCCUACUUCAGGCUUCGAUCUAGAAACAAUUUCCCUGGGUGAAUGUAGGGAUGUACUAUGUAGUGUGAUUAAUUCGUUCAAGCUUUGUGUUCUUGAUUUUUCAUAAAAUUACGAAGUCUGCCUGUGUGAUUUGAGUGAAAUUUGUUGGUUGGGACAGGUUUACUUAGGCCUGCAACUUAGUUCUGCAUUAUGGAAGGUUUACUUAGUCCUGCAAAUUCGUCAAGUCUGAAUAUACAAGGUGGCUUACAUGUGAGUUCUUGCCCUGUUCAUGAUGGAACUAUGUAUCUCCAUUAACUGCGUGGGCUGCACUUAUUUGAAGUUUGUAUCUACCUCUUUGCUCACGAUUUGUUCGAUCAAAUUUUGUAUAAAUACCUAGAUUGUAUGAAUGAAUUUAUGUGAUUCUCCCUGGAAUUUAUGAAUACAUUUUUUGCAGAAUUGGACUGAUAUAAAUUAUUUGAAUUUGGAUUACUGAUUCUUUCUCAAAUAUUUCAGUCCCUGCAGCAACAGCAGUGUUAUUUGACAGAAUUGCAUCAGCCCUGAAGGGUUUGGAAACAUCGAUUCCUGCCAUUAUAAACAAAACAAUGUUGCGUUCUCGCUGCAUAGUAUUAGAAGGACUCAUGUAUGAAGUAUCUAUUUUAAAGAAAUUAAACCUAUCUUUGGAAUUUUGAUUCCCGGGUCUGAAUUCAGAUCUAUAUAUUUUUAUCUUUUUGUAAUGGUUUGCCUCCUGCAAUCAUUUGUUUGCCUUCAUCUGCAUCCGCAUGAAG
rnacentral:lncRNA from 1 species